rnacentral:rRNA from 1 species
UGCAGUCGACGGUGUCUUCGGACACAGUGGCGGACGGGUGAGUAACGCGUGAGAAUCUGCCUUCAGGUCUGGGACAACCACUGGAAACGGUGGCUAAUACCGGAUGUGCCGAGAGGUGAAAGGUUAACUGCCUGAAGAUGAGCUCGCGUCUGAUUAGCUAGUUGGUAGAGUAAGAGCCUACCAAGGCGACGAUCAGUAGCUGGUCUGAGAGGAUGAUCAGCCACACUGGGACUGAGACACGGCCCAGACUCCUACGGGAGGCAGCAGUGGGGAAUUUUCCGCAAUGGGCGAAAGCCUGACGGAGCAAUACCGCGUGAGGGAGGAAGGCUCUUGGGUCGUAAACCUCUUUUCUCAGGGAAGAACACAAUGACGGUACCUGAGGAAUAAGCAUCGGCUAACUCCGUGCCAGCAGCCGCGGUAAUACGGAGGAUGCAAGCGUUAUCCGGAAUGAUUGGGCGUAAAGCGUCCGCAGGUGGCUAUGUAAGUCUGCUGUUAAAGCGUCUAGCUCAACUAGAUAAAAGCAGUGGAAACUACAAGGCUAGAGUGCGUUCGGGGCAGAGGGAAUUCCUGGUGUAGCGGUGAAAUGCGUAGAGAUCAGGAAGAACACCGGUGGCGAAAGCGCUCUGCUAGGCCGCAACUGACACUGAGGGACGAAAGCUAGGGGAGCGAAUGGGAUUAGAUACCCCAGUAGUCCUAGCCGUAAACGAUGGAUACUAGGCGUGGCUUGUAUCGACCCGAGCCGUGCCGUAGCUACGCGUUAGUAUCCCGCCUGGGGAGUACCGCACGCAGUGUGAACUCAAAGGAUGACGGGG